rnacentral:lncRNA from 1 species
GCAUUGGAGCUGGUCGACCUACUAACGUUGUGUAUUGGUCGACGACAGCCAAUGGAGAGGGUCCAGCAAAAAAGUAAAAGUCGAGAACACCCCCAAUAAUCUUGUAUGUGAGCGAAGUCCCUCUGUAGAACACAUCCAUGCCAUUACUGUUAAGAAGAAGGACCGAGUGAGCAGAGGGCUGCCCGUUCACAUUUCUAAGAUCCAUGUACACCGGAUGAGACCCAUACAAAUCAGCAUUAAGAUUAAUGGCUGAGAUAUCAGUAGUAUACAGAGUAUAUGGAUCUCCAGGGUACAAUUUGAUUCCAUGAGGCUGCGUGUUCUCUCCCAGACCGUAGAGUGAAGCAUCUUUAGGCAAUUUUGUGGAUAUCUCCAAAUAUUGGUCUUUGAAGACCAUUUCUCCAAAUGGGUCGGAUUCAUCGGAGCUCGUAUUGAAAAGGGUCUGCCCGUUUGACUUUCUCUUCACUGCAAAACUAAAUGGGUCCUCUUCGUAGCUGAAGAUAAGCUCAGAGCCAGAGAAUUCCUGAACUGUUAUUGAAUUCUUACUCGAUCUCAAAAAAAUUGUUCGAUUCAGUGCCGGCGGUUGCUCUCUGGGCAACAGAUCAUAUGGAACUUCCCAUCUUUUCUUCUCUGCAUCAGUGAUGUGAAUCCUUAAACGAUCUUCUGUUUCAUGCCUGCAAAAACAAAUUUCCGGGAAAGGUACGUUGAGAAUCAUGAACAUACAAAAAUUGCAAAUUGAUUAAAAAAACGCAGUUGCAUACUUGACAAAGAGCUGCAAGAGGGGGAUAUCGGGUCCAUAGAUGUCGUUCUUCUGCUUGACUUGGAGGUAGCCCAAAAUGCCUCCAUCAUGAGUCUCUUCAAUAGAGAUGAGACGAUAGCCAUUUCCAAUCCUAGUAGGCGUGGAGGAUGGUCUUACUCCAUUAAAACACAGGAUCAAAACUAGAAAACAUGAAGCAAAAGUAGUAGAAGGCAACAUUUACUUAAUACUACUAGUAACUAUGAGCUGUCAGAAGAUGCCUAGAGGCUUUCCCCUUUGUUUGGAUGCUUGUAAGAAGGGAAACAAAAGAGGAUAAAAUAAACUUGAUUUAUUUUAUUUUGUAAUACUAUAAAAUCAAAAUUUCUCUUGAUUAAAUUAGUAUGCCUUAUAAAUUAAGAAAUAGGGACCUUACAGGAUAAUGAUAUUUAAAUAUUUUAAUAUAACAAACUAUAAUUUCUUUUUUUUUUCUACAUUUUCUUAAUUGGGAAUGAAAUGAUCUAAACGCAAGAACUUAAAAACUAUAAUUUCUUUUUCUUUUUAAGUUUGAUCUUAUCCAUUUAGAUAAGAUAUUUGAUUUGAUGGAAUUUAGAUAAAGGUAUUAUAAAUAUUUAUUUUAAAAAAAUAAUAAAAUAUUUGAGUUAACUGUUAUUAUGAGGACUUUGGUUUAAAUUAGUUACCAUGAGCGAACAAUUCUUGUCCCUAAGAUCAAGGCCCAUCGUUUUUGCCGAUGGACCUGUUCUAACUAAAAGUGAACUCCACAAAGAAGAACAGAGAUAGAAGAUCGUGGGGGAUCCACGCACAGUAAGCAAAAAUAUCAAUGAGGAAAAUAAUCUAAAGGUCCAAGAAAUCUAACGCCAAAUUUAACAGAUCUCAAAUAUGCAUUACUGCAUUUUAAGCUCUACAACAGUGACAAAUGUCCUAAGCAAGCAAUUGAAUCUAAGCUAACUCAUGAACUUGUUUGCAUGGAAAAGGAUGUGCAAAUCCUCAGCUCAUCUCGUUACCAUCAACAACCUUGGUAAGAAACAUGAAAAGAAUCAACCAUCCAAACUGGAUAACAAUAUCUAAAUAAGUAAAAAUCCGAAACAGAAACCUAGCGACCUCAACGACUGAUUUCCAUUUUCCAUGACAUGGAGAAAUCUUUGCCUAUGGGAAUAUCCAAACCAUUCACCUCUACCAUCACACUCUUCUUAGUAUCUCCAACUUCAAUAUCCUCGUGAUAUUUCUGUUCCAAUGAAUUCAACCCUAUAUUUGAAGCCCCAUCUAUGGAAUUUCCAUUAACUUCAAGUGCAGAUGGCUGCCCACUUCCUUCUAAUCCCAAUACAGUUAUCUCCUCAAUAAUCCAACCAUUAUCUAAAGCAAAUUUACCCUCCUGAACUUUUGACCAAACCUUUACAGUUCCCUGACUUACACUUGCAUAGAAAUCAAUAUAUGUUGAAUACCCACUUCCAAGUUUCAUUUCUGGAAGCUCAUCAUUAUCAAGGUAAAGGUUCCCUUUGGCUUCUCCAUUACUAGCCCCUGCAGGGAAGGUCACUAUUAGGCUAAACGGGGUCGUUCUAGCUUGUUUAGAAAUCAGACCACCUUGCUGCAUGGGUAGGAUGCUGUUCUGAUACAAAUGCACGUUAACCACAUGUAAAGGGGCAUCGAGGGUGACAUAUUGUCCCCCUUUUGAUGUAAUGGUUUGAGUCGUAUCAAAUACACUGUACCAACUACCUGGAGGAAAGAGUGCUUUAACCUGUGAUUUCCCUUGCUCAAGCACCGGAGACACCAUGAGACUGCUUCCUAACAAGAACUGAGUGCUCAACCCAUAACACACUGUGUAAUUUGGGAAUGAGAAGAAAAGCGGCCUGGCAAUUGGUGCCCCACUCAUAUGAGCCUCGUAGUUCAAUGUGUACAGAUAUGGAAGAAGCUUAUACCUCAUGCCCAGAGCGUUUCUAGCUGAUUCAGCUACGGACUCCCACUGAUAAAGCUCCUGCCUUGGAGAGUAGUAGUUGGCAUGAUCCCUUGAGAAGGGGUAGAAAGCACCUACUUCAAUCCAGCGAUUGCAAAGCUCUUCUGUUGGUGCAGGAUAGAAUCCGCAUAUAUCUGAACCAACCAUUGGCACACCAAAUAUGCCAAAAUUUAACAUAGUAGAUAUUGAGUACCUCAGAUCCUCCCAAGUUCCCUUAUUAUCUCCAGUCCAAUAAGCAACAUAUUUGCCUGAUCCAACAAAUGUAGAGCGUGAUAAAAUAAAUGGUCGCUUGCCCUCAAGCCCUUGAAGGGCCUUGUGAGUGGCAAUAGAUUGAGAGAAUCCAUAUAGACUGUGAGCAUCAUACUCCAAAACGCCAUUAUAGUGGACUGCACUAGUGGCUAUGGUUUUGUACCCUAUUGGCGCUUGUAUCCCUGAAGCGUUUAUCUUGUAAGGUGGAUCAUCCCACUUAGUAGCUGUUAUGUUCUUGCAGUCCAGGCAACAAAUCCAACCAGGUCCAGUGCCGCUAGGACAUUGCUUGCCUUCUGGUAUUGUACAAAGUCCAUAACAAAAGUUUGAGGCUUCAUUCAUGUCAAUCCAUAGGCCAUCAACAGGAACAAGUUCAUGGAAGCGACGGAUUUCAUCACCCCACCAUUCAACGGUUUUUGGAUUGAGGAAGUCAGGAAAAUUGACAGCUCCAGGCCAAACUUGAGCUAAGAAGGGCUUACCAUGAUACUUGAUAAAUACAUCAUUGGCAACGCCUCUUUGAUAUACACCGUAAGUAGAAUUAACACCAAUUCCGGGAUCAAUAAUUACAAUGUACUUCAUUCCAAUGUUGUGUAUUUUCUCUAGGAAUGCUAGGAGCUUUGGACGAGGGUAGUUGGUGGGGUUGAGGGUAAAAUCCUUAUGGACAUCCAUGUGAUCAUCAUCAUUCCAGAUCACAUCCAAAGGGAUCUGAGCCUUUUUGUAAUUCUCGACCACAUCUUCAACCACAGACAGGUUAUGGUAGCCCCAUCUGCACUGGUGGAAUCCUGUAAAACCAAAUGAAAAGAGCAUCCAAAUGGUUUUUCUCAAUUUAUACAAUAAGCAAUUUUAAACAUUUGACGAUUUAGAUGGACAAAAGCUUUUAAAUAAGUAUAAUAUUCCACAACACUCUUGUUUUGCUGAUUGCAAACACUGCUGGCGCUAUUUUUAGUCUAUAGUUAACUUGUAACUUGCACAAAGUUACAUUUGACCCCACAAGUAGAAAAGGAGGGACAAACAAGUGUGAUAUGAUCAUAAAUACUUUCCCCAGACAAAAAAAAUAAAAGAACUGUAGGCAAUCUCAUAAUAAGAAAAAUAGAAAAAUGGAUUGGGCAUUUUGACACAGAGAUACUGCUCUUAAACAUUUUCUUUUCAUAUGAUUGGCUCCAAAAGAACUGGAACUUGAGAUAUCACAACCCUGGAGACGACAUCAAUAGAUCCUAAACAUUUUUAUUUAUUCAAGCAAUAAGAAAAUUUCAACAACUCAACUUCUUAGUUCAAUCAUAUAAUUUGCAUAUUCUGUGUAUUUUCCAUGAUGAAGAAAGCAAUUCAAACAGCUUUUUCCUGAGGUGGGUGAAUGAAAGAUCUUUUAUACUAGGAAAAUAUACUUGAGAUAAGAUGGCUAAAUUGUGGAAAUAAAUCUAGCAACUUUAACAAAAUGCAAGAACUAAUAAACCAAAUUUUAACAUCAACAUUUUAAAAGAAAUGCAACCCAUAUUCCUGGAGUUACGUGUGACAAACCUCAGGCUUCACAUGUGCCCAUGCCAGCCUACCCACUAACAUUUAUUAAUUAUUUCAAGCAAUGUCCACUCUGCACCGUCACUAAUUUCAGCUGAAAAAAGGGCCAAAGGUUGGAGUGACUAAUAAACCAGAGAAUCACAUAAAAGACGACAAGGCUGUGGCGGACUUGGAUUUAUACAUACGUUUCUCAUUCAUCCUCUGACAUGAAAAAUGUCCAUAAGCGAGGAAACACAAUAGAAAUACAUUCCCCACCACCACUAAGGUUAGUCUCAAUCUUAUGGUACACGGCAGCCAUAGAUGCAAAGAACAGGAUCAUAAUACAGAGGCCUAAGAAAAUGUCAACACACUAACAUCAUGUGGGGCCUAUGUGAGCAAUGACCAUGACAAUGUGUCAAUGUUCAUGGGUCCGAGUUAGUAAUUGUCAAUACAGAGAGAUAGCUAUAAGUAUUGGAUUGAUUAAUUUCCACCUCAUACAUAGAAGAUGAAAAUUUUGGAAAAGUCUUGGAGGAUAGAAUGAUAUGCAACAGUGGAGUAACAGUUCUCCGGGUCCCCUACUUGCUUUGCACAAAAACAUUUACAAAAUCUAUCAACAAAGCAGAAAACUUUCAACAUUGAGAUGGUCCGAGAAAGAUGUCGUUACCAGUAAUAGAAAACUAACAAUCCAUUCAAAAGGAGAACUUUUCAGAACUAAAAAGUUUCUGGAGAAACGCAACAAAAUCUGUUAGGUGGGAGCUUUUAAGCAUUACAAUAAAGUAAAACAAAUCCCGGACCAACCCCACCAACCCAAAUUAAAAAAAAAGACAACCUACAACAACACGCGUAUGGCAUAUGAGCAGGCAGCACAUCACCAAAUCACACCGUCAAUCAACAUUUGCGAGUCCUAAUUACGCUUAACACCAAACUCAUUCUUCUACAUAAUUCCUAAGGUCAAUUUUAAUGAUAAAGAUUGAGAAUCAUAUGUAUUGACAAAAAAUAAUGGGUGUCUAAUCUAAUAUAGUGGUGUAUAUUCCAUAUCUGAUAAUAAACACCGUAAUCAUUAAGAAAAUAAACGCAAAGCAAGACACGAAACCAGUAAAAUGAAACAGCUUAAAACAGAAAGGCACCACUGCUCUAGUAAAACACAAGCCAAGGAAGCAUUUCUCUAGUCAAUAAAGACCAUUACUAGCAAGCAUACACUAAAUUGAAUCAAGGAAAGGGAGUUGAGAUUGAAUCAUACCAAGAGCCCAGUAAGGCAUAGGAGCAGGUCGACCUAUUAAAGCUGUGUAUUGGUCGACGACAGCUAAUGGAGAGGGUCCAGCGAAGAAGUAUAAGUCGAGAACACCCCCAAUAAUCUUGUACGUGAGCGAAGUCCCUCUGUAGAACACAUCCAUGCCAUUACUGUUCAGAAGAAGAACCGAGUGAGCAGAGGGCUGCCCGUUCACAUUUCUAAGAUCCAUGUACACUGGAUGAGACCCAUACAAAUCAGCAUUAAGAUUAAUGGCUGAGAUAUCAGUAGUAUACAGAGUAUAUGGAUCUCCAGGGUACAAUUUGAUUCCAUGAGGCUGCGUGUUC